rnacentral:rRNA from 1 species
UCUUCCCUCUUUCCUCGUGCCUAAUACAUGCAAGUCGAGCGAACAGACGAGGAGCUUGCUCCUCUGACGUUAGCGGCGGACGGGUGAGUAACACGUGGAUAACCUACCUAUAAGACUGGGAUAACUUCGGGAAACCGGAGCUAAUACCGGAUAAUAUAUUGAACCGCAUGGUUCAAUAGUGAAAGACGGUUUUGCUGUCACUUAUAGAUGGAUCCGCGCCGCAUUAGCUAGUUGGUAAGGUAACGGCUUACCAAGGCAACGAUGCGUAGCCGACCUGAGAGGGUGAUCGGCCACACUGGAACUGAGACACGGUCCAGACUCCUACGGGAGGCAGCAGUAGGGAAUCUUCCGCAAUGGGCGAAAGCUUGACGGAGCAACGCCGCGUGAGUGAUGAAGGUCUUCGGAUCGUAAAACUCUGUUAUUAGGGAAGAACAAAUGUGUAAGUAACUAUGCACGUCUUGACGGUACCUAAUCAGAAAGCCACGGCUAACUACGUG